GCACGGUGGAUGCCUUGGCACUAGAAGCCGAUGAAGGACGUUACUAACGACGAUAUGCUUUGGGGAGCUGUAAGUAAGCUUUGAUCCAGAGAUUUCCGAAUGGGGAAACCCAGCAUGAGUUAUGUCAUGUUAUCGAUAUGUGAAUACAUAGCAUAUCAGAAGGCACACCCGGAGAACUGAAACAUCUUAGUACCCGGAGGAAGAGAAAGAAAAUUCGAUUCCCUUAGUAGCGGCGAGCGAAACGGGAAGAGCCCAAACCAACAAGCUUGCUUGUUGGGGUUGUAGGACACUCUAUACGGAGUUACAAAGGACGACAUUAGACGAAUCAUCUGGAAAGAUGAAUCAAAGAAGGUAAUAAUCCUGUAGUCGAAAAUGUUGUCUCUCUUGAGUGGAUCCUGAGUACGACGGAGCACGUGAAAUUCCGUCGGAAUCUGGGAGGACCAUCUCCUAAGGCUAAAUACUCUCUAGUGACCGAUAGUGAACCAGUACCGUGAGGGAAAGGUGAAAAGCACCCCGGAAGGGGAGUGAAAUAGAACCUGAAACCGUGUGCUUACAAGUAGUCAGAGCCCGUUAAUGGGUGAUGGCGUGCCUUUUGUAGAAUGAACCGGCGAGUUACGAUUUGAUGCAAGGUUAAGCAGUAAAUGUGGAGCCGUAGCGAAAGCGAGUCUGAAUAGGGCGUUUAGUAUUUGGUCGUAGACCCGAAACCAGGUGAUCUACCCUUGGUCAGGUUGAAGUUCAGGUAACACUGAAUGGAGGACCGAACCGACUUACGUUGAAAAGUGAGCGGAUGAACUGAGGGUAGCGGAGAAAUUCCAAUCGAACCUGGAGAU
rnacentral:rRNA from 1 species